CCAGAAUUAUUUUUUUGCCCGUUAGGGCUCUGCGCGUUGGGUUCCGUCGUCUUCUCAUCUUCCUUUCUCGCCGCUGCCUCGUCUUCCUUUCUCAUCUUCAUCGUCCGCUGCUGCCUCAGCAGGGAAGGAAGAUGUGCGAGGCUUCAUCCUCUCCGCCUCUGUAUCAGUCAAUGGCUCUCUUCGACCGCUCCCUCUUCUGAUUCUUAAAAGUGAAUCGCCCCACCAGCCCUCUUCCUCCCUCUUUCUGCCUCUCUUUCUUUCUCUCUCAAUUUUCUGAAGAAAAGCAACUGGACAAGGGAAAAGGAUCAGAAAACCUCUUCCAUAUUUCGAUUCCCACAUCGUUCCAAACCCUAGAUUGCAGAUCUCUCUCUCUCUCUGUGGUUCUACCACCAGUAUCACCGCUGUUACCUAAAGAGGGGGUUUUGAGCAGCACCCACCUCGUUUGCAGAUGGGUCAUCCCAUAACGUAUUGGCAGUGGGUCUGUUCCCUCGCUUUCGCUCUCUCUUCCUCGAUCAUGGCUACUCAAGGCCAAGUUAUCAUCUGCAAAGAUGGAUUAGUUUGGCGGUUCAGGCGCUGUGGAUGUUCUCUUGCUUAAACCCUUGCCAGAGUUUGUUUCCUUUCUUGUUUGAUGCACCGGGAGAGUUUGUAGAGUUUUUGGGUGGUCCCUUGUGGGUUUUACGAUUGCAGACUUGUAGAACAGAAUGGGCGAUCUGGGCAUUGAGGCGUGGAAGCCGCUCCUAGGUUUGUCUACGUCGCUUGAGGGCAAAAGGAGGAGCAAGAAGAAAGUGCUCGAGAAUGAAGGUGAAAUACAAAGGAGUGAAUGCCUCAGAUCUCUGAGGGAUAUUUCCCUUGCACUUGCUGAGAUGCCUGCACGUGGUGAUCUAACAGGUGAUGUCUGUCACUCGGCAGAUGGUUACCAUCUCAAUGUUAAAAAGUAGGAGAUUCUUGAACUCUUGAAAUCAAUCUGGCAAAUUCUAGGAAUCACAAGGACUAUCCAUGGUAUAUGCUAUGCUUGGGUCUUAUUUCAGCAGUUUAUCAUAACUGGUGAACAACGGCUUCUACAACAUGCCACUGAAAUGAUAAGAAAGAUUCCACUAAAAUAACAGCGAAGUAUGCAGGAAAAGUUAUAUUUGAAAGGCCUCUGUUUUCCAAUCGAAGGAGAAAUAGGGAAUCAAGAAUUAACAUUUAUGCAUUCUGUCUUGUCACCUAUAAAGCAGUGAGCUGAUAAGCGUUUGGAGGAUUAUCAUUGCCAUUUUUUUGAGCCAUUUAUCAUCUUUAUGCUUGUAAAUGAAGGGCGCUUCAGCAGAAGAACUGUUUUACUUACUAGGGCAGAACAGUUAAGAUCACCUCUGUCACCGUCCGCACCUCUAGUUCCUAUUCAUAUAGUGCCAGCACUAUUGUGACAAAUCUUACAAAGUCACAGUCCUUCAUUCACCACCAGUUCAGGAGUUAACAAUAGAUGAUAUUGAGGAUACUGAUAAUGAAUAUGACAAUGCUUGACUUAAUCAACUCAAGGUUGUAAGACGUCAACGAAAUGAUGCUCAACUUGAUAUAUAUAUAUAUAUAUAUAUAUAUAUAUAUAUAUAUAUAUAUACACAUAUAUGGGGAGAGAGAGAGAGAGAAAUAGAGAGAGAGAGAGUUGCUGAGUGGUCUAUCCAGUCACAUUUUGUUUACAGUUUUUUAAAAUUAAUUAUAUAGAUGUGUUCUUCAUGUCUAAAACUAUAAAAACCAACACAAAAAUUGUAGUUUUUGGACAUACAAGAUUAGUUUUAUAAGCUAAAAACUUUAACUGUUGAUUAUUAUACUUCUAUAAAUCUUAGCCACACACUUACAUUGUCAUUUGUAGAUGGAUUUAUAAUGUUUUAUUGACCAAGAUCACAUCCAUAGUUGAUUUUACAAGAAAAAGAUUUAAUCAUAAUUGUGACUAGGCUGUCCAGCUGGUUUCACUCAUUCCUUACACACACACACACUCUCUCUCUCUCUACAAAUGAGAGUUACUUUGUGAUAUUAUCGUGGAACUGCUUAGGGAUAGACUUGUGUCUGGGGUUCGUCAUGCAUCGCUGGUCUGAAAGUCUUGUAUUUUUUGUGUACUUGAAAAAGAAAAAGGAAUUCUGUUCGCAAAAUUGUGCCACUCUUGCCAGGAUGUACGAGUUCUAGAUGGUGGUCCAUCGCGAAUCUUUUUCCAAGGUGAUAGGCUUUACCAAAAAGAUCUUGAAAUGCUAAAGGUGGUGAUGGUUUGCUUGAGAGCUUGACAGUACGUGCACAGCUGGUCAUUAAACUACAUGGCCUUGAUGUUAGUUUCUUUUGUCACAACAUAGUAGUGCAGAGUUGCCGUCCAUUUAUUGACACUUCGAAGUUUACACCAUUAUCACAGAUAUCUUGUUUGUUCCGAAGAAAAGGUGAUGUUGAUGGUAAAAAAAAUAUGGAAAAAAGCAUGAUUUUUUCACCAAAACAAAUUUAACGUGUUUUUUCCCAUGUUUUUUUUUUCUUUUUUUUGACGUUAAUAUCAUGGAUUACACUUUAAACUUAAACUAAAUUAUUUAUCAUGAUUAAAACAUUAUUUUUAUCAUAAUAUUCUAGUUAUUUUUUUAUGUCUUGUAGAAGCUUUUUUCUUUUUAAAAAAAUUAUUUACUCGAUAUUUCCCAAAAAGAACAACAUUGCCACAGAGAAAAACCUCUGCUGUUAUAACCCCAAGAACAAUACUCGUGACAAUGGUUUACACCUUUUGAUGUGAUAAGGUGAAUCAGCCGCAAAGAGUGGUAUGUGCUAAGGUUUGGAAACAAGCUGGAAAGCCCAAGCUAUAGGUGUUGUAGCUUGCCUGAUUGUGUUAGCUGUUUAAAGCUUGUUUUUUAUUAUCUUGAGGUGAAAAUGAGUUCCCACCGAAGGUGGGAUACAAAGUACAAAUGAAAACUUACGGCUAGAACUUUAGGUCUAUUGGAUGGAAUUAUUAUUCUAUCAGCGUGAUGUAAAAAAACAUACUUCAUAAUUUGUAUUACUCAACAAACUUGUUAAUAAAGAUGCAUUCCCAGUGGGGAACAUUGCAAUC